CUGAAGCCAAAGAAAAUGAAGCUCAGUAUAACAAAACGAGAGCGUCACAGACUGGCAGCUGGAAGAGCAUCCAUUCCUUGCUCUGGGAAUAUCAGCCUGGGCAGUGUCAACCCCAUCUACCAGCCUUCACUGAAGUUCACUGUCCUGAUGAUUUCUCUGAUGAAAUGGCCAUUGGUGUCAGAUGCUCAAGUCUGAGGAUGGCGCAGACCUGAAGUACUUAUCAAGGCACAUCUUUUG
rnacentral:lncRNA from 12 species